rnacentral:lncRNA from 12 species
CAGAAUUAUUAUUUUUAUUAUUCUAGUUUUUCAGAAGUGUUAACCAAGGCACAGAGUCAUACACCUUUAUGUAAUUUACCCAAAGUUAGUAAAUGGUGGAACUGGGAUAUGAAGAAAGAUCCAAAACCAAACAUUGAAUUUGGGGAGUGCAGUGCUCCGAUGGGGAUUUCGUUGUAGCUUUUGUGGCACC